rnacentral:rRNA from 1 species
GAGUUUGAUCUUGGCUCAGGAUGAACGCUGGCGGCGUGCCUAACACAUGCAAGUCGAACGAAGCACUUAUCUUCGAUUCUUCGGAUGAAGAGAUAUUUGACUGAGUGGCGGACGGGUGAGUAACGCGUGGGUAACCUGCCUCAUACAGGGGGAUAACAGUUGGAAAUGACUGCUAAUACCGCAUAAGCGCACGGAAUCGCAUGAUUCAGUGUGAAAAGCCGAGACGGUAUGAGAUGGACCCGCGUCUGAUUAGGUAGUU